AUUACAUGUGUUUCGUGUCCGCUGUGGCCCACUUGUGUGUUAUCGGGUCAACAGGAGAGAGUGCAACCCGUUUUGAGUGGGGAGGGGACUCGACUGUAUAGUGUGCCUUGUUCAUGUCGCCGAAGCGAGGGGGAAGCUGAAGCGGUGGCUUCGGACCGGCGAAUCUGCCACCAUCACCAAAGCGAAUCAGUGACAUCGGCAUAGGUUGGCGACCCGGCGAAUUGGCUAGGUCUCCAGAUCGGUGGCCUCGCUGGUAUUCGGCGUUUUGCUUUCGAUUUCGGGUUGAUUUGGAUCCAGUUUGGAGUGCGGAUUUUUUAUUUGAUUUGUGUUGUUGUUAGAGUCUAUUUUGAGAGGAUUUCCACUAGAUUAGUGUUCGGUGUUGUGUGGGUGUUUGGUUUGAGGUCUUUUCACAUGGGUUUGGCUUGAGUCUGUGCGUGCAAGCGGCGGCGGCGGCCGGGCGGAGGACGGCAUGUACACGGAGCUCUGGAACCUCUGCUAGUCAGCUGGCCACGGUGCGCAGGAUCCGAAACCAUGGUGAUUGAGUCUAAGGUACGAAGUUUACAUAUUCUGCAAAGAGGCUAGCUCUCAAACUGAUGUUUCAAGAAGACAUUGAGACUACACCCAGGUAUCUUCUAUGAACUGUCUUUUGUGAAACAGGUCUUUGUUGAAAUUUCAACGGUGUGUCAAUAUUUAGGAUAUGUGGUUACUUAUGCAUGUAUGUGAACAAUAACAAAGCUUAGAUUUUGUUAUCUGUUGCAAACUCGCAUCUAGCUAAUAGUUUUUUUAAUGGAGAUCACAAUUUAACUUCAAUAGACACCUAAUAGCUUACAGGCUUGCUGAUCAAAUAACCAUGGAAUUGUCAUUCCAGUUGAAUCUAAAUUCCAGUCUCUCAUACCUAACAUUUGCAGACAAGGACAAGAUGUGUGGUAUCUUUUGUUAUCGACGAAGACAAGCAAAAUAGUUUUACAUGUAAUUUUACUCAACAAAAAACUUUACUCGUAAUUUUUUCUCGCAUAAACAUUUUACAUGUAAUUUGUUGUGUGUUUAUAUUUUUGUGUAUGAUGUACCUUUAACUAAAAAACACAAAUAAAAUAGGCCAAUUCUAGGCUUAAUGCUAGGUACUGGCCUGUUUAUUGCUUUGAGAUGCAUGCUUAUUUGUUUUGGGAUCACUGAUAAGAUAGUGGAUUGCUUUUGCUUCAAAAAUUUUGAAGGUCACUCUAUAAGUUCUAUUAUUGUUAGAUUUAUUGCAUGAUUGAAAAGCAUAUAUGUUAGUUUCUUCUAUGUAUGCAUCUUCCAUUAGCUGACUAUUUGUUUUUUAUCUACAAGUUUCAAGAUGAGUAUUCUUUUUCAUUACUUUCGUGUAAUUUUCUAAUAAAAGGUGUAUUUAAGUUUGAAAAAGAACAUUUUCUCCAUAUGUACAUGUCCAUGUGUACCUGCGACUCUGUUAUUUGUUUCUGUCCGUCCGACCAUAUCUGUACUUGGUUUCAUAGUUGAGUUCUGUCAUAUUUUCUUGAUCAUGGCAUAGUGCUGGGAGUCGAUGGAAGAUGUGUAGAUCAUGCCUUCUUCUUUUCCUUCAUGUUCUGAUUUAGCGAUUUUGUCUAGUUACAUGACCUACAUAAGGUGGACUGAAAAUGAUCUCAAAUACCCCGCCCCCCUAUUAAAAAAAACUUAACUUUUGUGGUUACCAUUAGUUCUUUCUGAGUGUUCUGACUUUGUGAGAAAUAUCUUUUUCUUUGUGUGUGUGUGUGUGUGUGCACCUAAAGAUACCAGAUUAGCACCAGGCUCCUCUCAUAUUCUUUUGUAGCACUUCAGGUGUACAAUGUAGUUGUUUAACGAUAUGUUGUAAAGCUGGGAUAAACUAACCGAUGCAGGCAAAAUGGUACUUGAGAGCUGGAGAGGGAGAGAAUAUUAGAGUUAGGUAUACCAUUCUCCUAUGAUACAGCUUCAUUGAAGGGAUUUGCAUAGGACCCGGUGCGUGCCAAGAGGUGAUUGUAACUACCUGCUGAUUGUGGUCACACUAAAGCUCUAUGUGGUAUUAAACUUUGUGUGGUAUGCCAUUCUCUAUCUCUAUCUAAUGAGAAUGCCUAGCUUGUUUGGAUGUCUUUUAUUUCGAAAAGGAAUAAACAUAAUAGCAUGAUUUUGUAUUACAAUUUUUCUUUUUUGAUAAAUGUUGUGUUCUAUCUUUUUUGCCCUCUCACAAAUAUUAUACUGCUCACAUUGUGCAAUAUUAAUAUUAACAGAAAUAUUUUCAUUUGCUAUGUAUUUUUCUGAUUUGUGAUUCUAUUCUCUGUCAAAUUUUAAUCCCUUCACCAGUCCAAGACGAGGUAAUAGCUGUCAUAUUUGUGUAGGAUAAUAUAUGUUAAACUUAAUUAUAAGUCAAUAUUCUUUUAGUUAUAUUUUCUAACAAAAGCUUCAUUUUAGACUCAUAGCUAAGUGUACUUUUUUGUUGCAAUUAAUAAAGUGUCACUUGCUAUAAUUUUGUUUUUUUCUAAUGCUACAAGCUUUUUUCAUAAUAUGUUUUUAGUAUGAGAUAUCAUAUCAUUUUCUAGGAUGUAAUUAACAUAAUUUAUAUAACAUUUCCAUUAUUCUGUUGUAUUACAUUUUUUUCUUACACUGUGAAAAAAAGUAUUAAAGUGUGCAUCAUAUUGUAUUGCAACAAAUAUUAUAGUGUAAAAAAAAUUAUAGGUGCUAUAUAUGAAUCUAAAGUGCUUACACUUUGUAACUUAUAGUAUAUCAGUGCUGUAUUUUUUCCUUGCUUAGAAAAUCUAUGGUUAAAAAUUUUCUUCACAAAUUAUGUUAUAGUUCCUUCCCUGGGUCAGUCACUCUUGCUGUAUUAUACCUCUUAUUUAGGCAUUUGUGGUUGCUGGUGGUGGUUCAUCAGCCGUAGGAAUAACAAAAGUUUCUUUGACUUCUUUGAUUGUUCAACCUUUCCAACUGUGAUUUUUUUGUAUCUAAAGUUUUGCUCAUUUUACUUCUGUUCAAAUCUAUUCAACUUCAUCUAUUUCUUGUGCUUGCAAUUGAUAUAGCAUAUGAUUUUAUAAUGCUAGAACAAUAUUUUUUGUUAGACCUGAAAUAUGUAGAUUUCUUCUGCCUUUUUAUUUGCAAAGUAGUAAGCAUUAUCGACAUCUCAAUUCUUUUGUUCCCUUCAUUUAAACUUCCUUUUAGGUACAACAUAUUAUGGCUCAUGAUUAUUAUGGUAGUUAAUGAUUAUAGGUCCAUGCUGGACAAUUUUCAUAGGAACAAAAAGACUUAACAUCAGUGCAGUAUUUCCCAUGAACUAGUCAUUAGAUGUUCAAUUUGGUUACCUGUUACUUCCAAAGGUGCGGAUAUGGUUAUAAUAUAUCUACUUGUAUUUUUAUGUAAGCUGUGUUUUUCGGUAGCCUCUGUUUUGUCUUGCUUGUGUUGUUCAAGUCCCCUGUUCCUGAACCUUUGGUUCAAGAGUGCAGGUUGUUCGUUGUGCACAUUCAUUUUACUCUUAGGGUGAGAUCUCUGUUUGAGCCUUCACUCAUCAGCCUUGCUUGAUAUAGCAGGAUACUGUCUCUUGGGCAGGAGCUUACCACUAACCUCAAAAAGAAUCUUUGAUGAUUUCAAAGGGCGCGUUUUCUCAAGUCCCAUACAAUACUCUCUAUUUUAGUAUCUUAUUCCUUUUCGAUGUGCAGACAUGCUCUUUUUCUUUGAGGAAUACAUGCUUGAUAUUAUGCAUACUCCAGUUUUAGCUAUUUACCUUUGCACUACACUGUAAUUACAUUUUCCUUAUGACUGUACAAGUAGGGGACAAAAUUUAGGUGUACCUAUAUGAAAUGUCACCAUCUUGGAUUAACCAUGUAUGUUAUUGCUAGUAGUUACUAUGGUUAUACAGUUCCACAUGUUACUUUCCUUGUCUGCAACAUAAAUUUGCUAUCAAACUCAAAUUGUAGUGUGCUUGCUAAGAUUCAAAUUCUAUGGAUUAACUGAUUCUUGGAUGCCGGAAUCUGUGCAGGGGGUGCUAUGCUAUCUCUUCAAUGGCUCAUGGUUAUGGUACCCAACAACAAUUAAUAUUGGCCCAGUUCUUGACAACUCCCCUCCACAAAAAUAUUUCUAAGAUGUAUCAUGUAAUUUCAGUGUUUUAUCUAUUUUUUCUAAGAUAAUUACUGAUGUAAAAUAUUAUAAUAUGCAUUGACACCGAAUCUAUUUAUAUUAUUAGAAAUGAGUAUGUUGCAUGUGGUAUUUAUGAAA